GAUGAAGAACGUAGCGAAAUGCGAUAAGUAAUGUGAAUUGCAGAAUUCAGUGAAUCAUCGAAUCUUUGAACGCACAUUGCGCCCUCUGGUAUUCCGGGGGGCAUGCCUGUUCGAGCGUCAUUAUAACCACUCAAGCUCUCGCUUGGUAUUGGGGUUCGCGGUUCCGCGGCCCCUAAAAUCAGUGGCGGUGCCUGUCGGCUCUACGCGUAGUAAUACUCCUCGCGAUUGAGUCCGGUAGGUCUACUUGCCAGCAACCCCCAAUUUUUACAGGUUGACAUCGGAUCAGGUAGGGAUACCCGCUGAACUUAAGCAUAUCAUAAGCGGAGGA
rnacentral:misc_RNA from 1 species